GGGAAUGUGGCUUAGUGGUAGAGUGCUUGCCUAGUAUGCAUGAAGCCCUGGGUUCCAUUCCUCAGCACCA
rnacentral:tRNA from 1 species